rnacentral:rRNA from 1 species
AUUGAACGCUGGCGGCAUGCCUUACACAUGCAAGUCGAACGGCAGCACGGGGCAACCUGGUGGCGAGUGGCGAACGGGUGAGUAAUGCAUCGGAACGUGCCAUUGAGUGGGGGAUAACGUAGCGAAAGUUGCGCUAAUACCGCAUAUUCUGUGAGCAGGAAAGCAGGGGACCGCAAGGCCUUGCGCUCUUUGAGCGGCCGAUGUCAGAUUAGCUAGUUGGUGAGGUAACGGCUUACCAAGGCGACGAUCUGUAGCGGGUCUGAGAGGAUGAUCCGCCACACUGGAACUGAGACACGGUCCAGACUCCUACGGGAGGCAGCAGUGGGAAUUUUGGACAAUGGGCGCAAGCCUGAUCCAGCCAUGCCGCGUGAGUGAAGAAGGCCUUCGGGUU